UAUUGACGGACGCUAAGUUAAACAAUUGCAACACGGUGCUGAAAUACAGAAUUGCUCUCAUUAGUGCUACCAUCUCAGAUUUAUUUACUUUGUGUAUUAUUUUUUGUAAUAUAUUGUAGAAUUUGUCGUUUUCUUCCUCUUUUGCUUCAACUGGGGCUGGGAUGGUUAAGUAUUCUCAAGGUGUUUCAGGCCUUACAUUAUUCUUUUGUUCCAAAAGGGGUAGCUGUCAUCAGUGCUUUGGGGUGAUUUGUGAAUCAUUAGCAUUACUCCGGCUUGAGCCCUCAUUUUUUUUUCCACUCCAUGAUAAAAUUGAAGUUAGUUGUUUCUAUGGACCCUCCGAAUUUCUCUUUUUUGUGUGUGUUUUAUGUUUCUCUUUGCAAGUAUAUCGUCCAGUGGAUCUUAAUUGAAUGCACUUCCACGUACAUCCCAUGUGACAGUAUUGAGUAUUCCCUUCUUUUUCCAUUUAUUCGUGGUCGUGUUUAAGCCUAGGUUAUCAUCGUUAACAGCAGUCAGGGUUGUAUUUCUUUGAAACUUGAAAGCUGGCCUGCUUAUCCGUUGCUGGCCAAAGGGCAGCAAGUCAGUGGUAGGAGUGGCACCUUAGCCUCUGCAAUGGCUUUAUGCAGAUGGUAUUAUCUCCAACCUGGAUGAAAAGGUUAUACUGCCAUGACUCGGUCGUCAAAGCCUCGUUUGUGGUAACAGGGUGCAACGCGGAAAGGUGAGAUUGACAGUAAGGUAUGAGAGCCUGUGGGAGAUGCGUCCUACCUAUUGCAUGGAGACCGUAUUUUGAUGCGCUCGUUCUGGGGCAUUUGAGAUAUCGAUACGAACACAAUUGGAGACGUUGGUGCCAUCUGUUCGGCAGUCCGACAAACUUCAUGGCCUGAGCACGUUGCAGUUCAAUAUCUGACGGCUGCGAAGUUCUGGUCCGCCAUAUAUAUAUUUGUUACAGUUUAAAUGUCCACUCCUGAGUUAUUUCUAUAGGAACAAACAUAUAUUUAGAUAAUUACUGAGAGGUCUUGCUGCAGCAACAGCAGGCUGCUAUAGGGAAGGAAUAGAAAAGAAGUCCUGGUGCUUUAUUAAUUAAGCACUGUGCCAUCAAGACAUGGGGAAAUGGAGAUAUAGCUUUAACAUUCUUGACCUUGACACUAGAUAGAGGCAAGUGGUCAGCUUCAAGGACCAUCCACUUUAGCCCCAGGAAAAAAACCCCCCAGUACCCAUUAGAUAGGAAGCUAGGUGGGCCAAGAGCUGGUGUGGAUGCUGUGGAGAACAGAAAAAUCUUGCCUCUGCCAGGAUUUGAACCCCAGCUAUCCAGUCGAUAUCCUGUCAUUGUACCAAUUGAUCUGUCCCGACUUGCAGAGAAGGAACAGUACAGAUUAGAUUCCUUCAAGGUAGCUGUUGCCGACACCUUCUGGAAAGCAAUAAAAGUUGUAGAAAGAAAUGUGAUAGGCCAAGUUCUGACCUACAAACUGAAAAUAGGCCCUACUGCAGAAGUACCCCACGCUGAAGGCUUUCAGGAUGUGAUCAAUGACAUGCCAAUCUGACUUGCAAACCAUGGUUGCUGCAAGUACUGAGGAAAAUCGUGCAUUGCUUGCCUAAAGUGUUUUGUUUCACCAUGUUUCAACAAAGAUUAGAAUUGCUUUGUCAAGUUUCAUGAGGCCUGAGCUGGAGGGGAAAAAACAUUUGGUUUGUGAUUUAGUAAUUUUACUUUUUAUGCAUUUUUAAAUAGUUUUUACUGUAAUUUUUCAGUUCACAAUUUAUGUUUUUGGUUUGUAAUGUACCAGAUUUCCAAUCUCUUCACUUUGCAAACUAUUCAUUCUGAAAGAGACUAAUGUGGGUUGCAAAAUAAAGACAUGGCCAUAACUGCAGAAUGUUCCAUGUGUGACACAAACCAAACUAAUGAAAAAUAAAUACACUAGUUAUUAAUUUAGAUUUUUUAAUUGUUUUUCCUGGUUUGAGCACAUUUUAUUUGUUGAGAAUUUAGAUAUAAAAUGAAAAAAUAAUUGUGAUAAGGGGUGAAUGGUUCUAUACUCCAUCUCCUAUGGGAAUGAGGCACAUGAUCAAUGACAUAAUCUAGUAUGUCAUUAGAAAGUUAAUGGAAUGUGUUUUCAAUAUAUUUUUGUUAUUGUAUGAUGGCAGGAAAUCAGAUGUAUACAAAGGACUUCAAUAAAACUGCUUACACAUAGUGUGAUA